ensembl:lncRNA
GCCACCGCGCUUCCGGCGCCACAUCUGGAUCAAGAGAGGUGACAUUGGCAUUGUCACCCUGUCAUUGUGUCAUUGUCACCCUGUCAUUGUCACCCUGUCAUUGUCACCCUGUCACUGUCACUCUGUCAGUCUGUCCUUGUGUCACUGUCACCCUGUCACUGCCACCGCACUUCCAGCGCCACAUCUGGAUCAAGAGAGGUGACGUUGGCAUUGUCACUGUGUCACUGUGUCAUUGUGUCACUGUCACUGUCACCCUGUCACUGUGUCACUGUGUCACUGUCACCCUGUCACUGUCACCGCGCUUCCGGUGCCACAUCUGGAUCAAGAGAGGUGACACUGGCAUUGUCACCCUGUCAUUGUCACCCUGUCAUUGUCACCCUGUCACUGUGUCACUCUGUCACUCUGUCCUUGUGUCACUGUCACCCUGUCACUGCCACCGCGCUUCCGGCGCCACAUCUGGAUCAAGAGAGGUGACAUUGGCAUUGUCACCCUGUCACUGUGUCAUUGUCAUCCUGUCACUGUCACCCUGUCACUGUCACUCUGUCAGUCUGUCCUUGUGUCACUGUCACCCUGUCACUGCCACCGCACUUCCAGCGCCACAUCUGGAUCAAGAGAGGUGACGUUGGCAUUGUCACUGUGUCACUGUGUCAUUGUGUCACUGUCACUGUCACCCUGUCACUGUGUCACUGUGUCACUGUCACCCUGUCACUGUCACCGCGCUUCCGGUGCCACAUCUGGAUCAAGAGAGGUGACACUGGCAUUGUCACCCUGUCAUUGUCACCCUGUCAUUGUCACUCUGUCACUGUGUCACUGUGUCACUGUCACCCUGUCACUGUCACCCUGUCCUUGUGUCACUGUCACCCUGUCACUGCCACCGCGCUUCCGGCGCCACAUCUGGAUCAAGAGAGGUGACAUUGGCAUUGUCACUGUGUCACUGUGUCAUUGUCACCCUGUGACUGUGUCACUGUCAGUCUGUCACUGUCCUGUGUCACUGUCACUGUGUCACUGUCACUCUCUCAUUGUCACCCUCUCAUUGUCACUGUCACCCUGUCACUGUGUCACUGUGUCAUUGUCACCCUGUCACUGCCACCGCGCUUCCGGCGCCACAUCUGGAUCAAGAGAGGUGACACCGCUGGCAUUGUCACCCUGUCAUUGUCACCGUGUCACUGUGUCACUCUGUCAUUGUGUCACUGUCAUUGUGUCAUUGUCACCCUGCCAUUGUCACCCUGCCAUUGUUCCAUCCUCACCUUGCCACUUUGUCUUGUUAUUGUUCUGUCAUUGUCACCUUGCUACUGUCACCCUGUCACUGUCCCGUUACUGUCACCCUGUCAUUGUCCCCCAUCGCUGUCACCCGGUCAUUGUCCCGUGUCACUGUCACCUUGCUACUGUCACCCUGUCACUGUCUGUGUCACUGUCACCCUGUCACUGUCCUGUCACUGUCACCCGCUCAUUGUCCCCGUGUCAUUGUCACAUUGUCAUUGUCUCCCUGUCACUGUCCUGUCAUUGUCACCCUGACACUGCGUCCUGUCGUCGUUUUGUGUCAUUGUCCCUCUGUCAUUGUCCGUGUGUCCCCCCCAAUGUCCCCAGUGUCCCUGAUGUCCCCUCAAUGUCCCCGAUGUCCCCCCAAUGUCCCCAAUGUCCCCUCAGUGUCCCCGAUGUCCCCCCGAUGUCCCCUCAAUGUCCCCAAUGUCCCCG